AGGACGAACGCUGGCGGCGUGCCUAAUACAUGCAAGUCGAGCGGAACCAGAGGAGCUUGCUCCUUUUGGUUUAGCGGCGGACGGGUGAGUAACACGUGGGCAACCUGCCCUGCAGAUCGGGAUAACUCCGGGAAACCGGUGCUAAUACCGAAUAGUUUCUGGUUCCUCCUGGAACCGGACGGAAAGACGGUUUCGGCUGUCACUGCAGGAUGGGCCCGCGGCGCAUUAGCUAGUUGGUGGGGUAAUGGCUCGACCAAGGCGACGAUGCGUAGCCGACCUGAGAGGGUGAUCGGCCACACGUGGGACUGAGACACGGCCCAAGUACUCCGUACGGGGAGCAGCAAGGUAGGGAAUCGUCGACAAGUGGACGCAAGUCUGGACGGAGACGAACGCCGCGUGAGGUGACGGUAAGGUUUCGGAUACGUAAA
rnacentral:rRNA from 1 species